AGUCAAUGUGGGACACUAGUGCCCUCUGCUGGGCGGAACCAGAACUGCUAUCAAGUGAAGAGAAACAAAUGAAGCUAUAACAAAGACUUGUUAAAUCUCUGACUAAAACAUGACAGAAAUCAAUUCUCAUCAAUUUGAUAAAAGAAAAGGCACCAAAAGAAAUACCCUUAAAAUGAAUUUUUGUUUCGACAAAAUCACAAGUUAAUAUGAGUUUUGGAAAAAAAACAUUUUUUCCCCCAUAAAAGUAGCUAUUUAUUAUUUUUUUAAGUAAGAAAUGCUUGGAAAAGAAACAACACAUUUUCCCUAUUUUUCCUGUACAUCUUUAUGGAAAAUAAUAAAUAACAUAUAAAGAAACAAAAGCCUAAAUCGACUAAAUUUCUACUUCUGAAAAUCUGCCUUAAAAAUAAAGCAUUUAAGCCACAAUUACUACAAAAUGUUUGCAAAUACCCCAAAUUAAAUGUUUUAAUGAAAAAAAAUAAAAUUAUAUUGUAAUAGUAAUAAUUAUAAAUUAUUUUAAUUGUGUUUGUUUUUGAUCGUUUUUCAAUGUCUGAGGUCAUCAGAAAGCCAGAGGGACCAAAUAGGCUUUAUUUAAAAUAUAUAUAUAUAUAUAUAUAUAUAUAUAUAUAUACUCUCAUUCAUAAUGAAGAUGAAACAUCUUUAUAAAUCAAGUUUUGAGUCAAAAUAAACAAAACACCUAAUCAAAUUUUAGAUUAAAAAAAAUAAUAAAAUAAUUAGCCGCUAGCUAGCAUUUACAGCUUCGGUCCAGAAUUCCAGAAAAUAUGUCAAACAAUAUAUUACUAAACGUAAAUAUUUCAACACAAAACUAUUUUUGUACAUCUUUAAACGUUUAUGAACAUUGUACGUAUUUAUAAACUCAUUAAAAAAAAACUUACUUUAAAACAUCAGGAAAACGCUGCGUCAUCGACGGAAGCUUUCGACUACACGCGGAAAGUAGUGGCGCCCUCUUGUGGUUGAAAGUGUGAGUUUGGAGGAGCUGAAGGUCGGACCUGCCACGUAGGCGUGCAGACCCUGGAUCUCGAUGACCUGCUGGCCCAGAGUGUGUCGGCCUGGAGGAAGCCCCAUGGCUGUGAUGGCGUCUGUGACCAAAACUAAACCUGCAGGAGCAAACACA